UUCGGAGGUACUCGAGUGGCGAACGGGUGAGUAACACGUGGGCAAUCUGCCCUGCACUUCGGGAUAAGCCUGGGAAACGGGGUCUAAUACCGGAUAGGACCUCAAGACGCAUGUCUUCUGGUGGAAAGCUUUUGCGGUGUGGGAUGGGCCCGCGGCCUAUCAGCUUGUUGGUGGGGUGACGGCCUACCAAGGCGACGACGGGUAGCCGGCCUGAGAGGGUGUCCGGCCACACUGGGACUGAGAUACGGCCCAGACUCCUACGGGAGGCAGCAGUGGGGAAUAUUGCACAAUGGGCGCAAGCCUGAUGCAGCGACGCCGCGUGGGGGAUGACGGCCUUCGGGUUGUAAACCUCUUUCACCAUCGACGAAGGUCCGGGUUUUCUCGGAUUGACGGUAGGUGGAGAAGAAGCACCGGCCAACUACGUGCCAGCAGCCGCGGUAAUACGUAGGGUGCGAGCGUUGUCCGGAAUUACUGGGCGUAAAGAGCUCGUAGGUGGUUUGUCGCGUUGUUCGUGAAAUCUCACGGCUUAACUGUGAGCGUGCGGGCGAUACGGGCAGACUAGAGUACUGCAGGGGAGACUGGAAUUCCUGGUGUAGCGGUGGAAUGCGCAGAUAUCAGGAGGAACACCGGUGGCGAAGGCGGGUCUCUGGGCAGUAACUGACGCUGAGGAGCGAAAGCGUGGGGAGCGAACAGGAUUAGAUACCCUGGUAGUCCACGCCGUAAACGGUGGGUACUAGGUGUGGGUUUCCUUCCUUGGGAUCCGUGCCGUAGCUAACGCAUUAAGUACCCCGCCUGGGGAGUACGGCCGCAAGGCUAAAACUCAAAGGAAUUGACGGGGGCCCGCACAAGCGGCGGAGCAUGUGGAUUAAUUCGAUGCAACGCGAAGAACCUUACCUGGGUUUGACAUGCACAGGACGCGUCUAGAGAUAGGCGUUCCCUUGUGGCCUGUGUGCAGGUGGUGCAUGGCUGUCGUCAGCUCGUGUCGUGAGAUGUUGGGUUAAGUCCCGCAACGAGCGCAACCCUUGUCUCAUGUUGCCAGCGGGUAAUGCCGGGGACUCGUGAGAGACUGCCGGGGUCAACUCGGAGGAAGGUGGGGAUGACGUCAAGUCAUCAUGCCCCUUAUGUCCAGGGCUUCACACAUGCUACAAUGGCCGGUACAAAGGGCUGCGAUGCCGUAAGGUUAAGCGAAUCCUUUUAAAGCCGGUCUCAGUUCGGAUUGGGGUCUGCAACUCGACCCCAUGAAGUCGGAGUCGCUAGUAAUCGCAGAUCAGCAACGCUGCGGUGAAUACGUUCCCGGGCCUUGUACACACCGCCCGUCACGUCAUGAAAGUCGGUAACACCCGAAGCC
rnacentral:rRNA from 1 species